GCCGGAGGGAAACCGAGUCUUAAUUGGGCGUUAAGUUGCAGGGUAUAGACCCGAAACCCGGUGAUCUAGCCAUGGGCAGGUUGAAGGUUGGGUAACACUAACUGGAGGACCGAACCGACUAAUGUUGAAAAAUUAGCGGAUGACCUGUGGCUGGGGGUGAAAGGCCAAUCAAACCGGGAGAUAGCUGGUUCUCCCCGAAAGCUAUUUAGGUAGCGCCUCGUGAAUUCAUCUCCGGGGGUAGAGCACUGUUUCGGCUAGGGGGCCAUCCCGGCUUACCAACCCGAUGCAAACUGCGAAUACCGGAGAAUGUUAUCACGGGAGACACACGGCGGGUGCUAACGUCCGUCGUGAAGAGGGAAACAACCCAGACCGCCAGCUAAGGUCCCAAAGUCAUGGUUAAGUGGGAAACGAUGUGGGAAGGCCCAGACAGCCAGGAUGUUGGCUUAGAAGCAGCCAUCAUUUAAAGAAAGCGUAAUAGCUCACUGGUCGAGUCGGCCUGCGCGGAAGAUGUAACGGGGCUAAACCAUGCACCGAAGCUGCGGCAGCGAACGUAUCACCCAAGACAACUUUACGGAGUUGACGAUUGACGGAGCGAAGCGACGUCAAAGCGUUCAUUAAAGUCGAGUUGGCUUAGGGAUACGUUCGUUGGGUAGGGGAGCGUUCUGUAAGCCUGUGAAGGUGUGUCGUGAGGCAUGCUGGAGGUAUCAGAAGUGCGAAUGCUGACAUAAGUAACGAUAAAGCGGGUGAAAAGCCCGCUCGCCGGAAGACCAAGGGUUCCUGUCCAACGUUAAUCGGGGCAGGGUGAGUCGACCCCUAAGGCGAGGCCGAAAGGCGUAGUCGAUGGGAAACGGGUUAAUAUUCCCGUACUUGGUGUUACUGCGAAGGGGGGACGGAGAAGGCUAUGUUGGCCGGGCGACGGUUGUCCCGGUUUAAGCGUGUAGGUGUGUGUUCCAGGUAAAUCCGGUU
rnacentral:rRNA from 1 species